UCUUUAAGACGAAGGGGAGGGCAGCGGGAAAGAUAUGAACCCCCGGGACCACCAAGACGACCUACCGGCAGUCCAGUGCGCAUACACACGACCAGAUAAAUAGACAAGAUAAACACAUGGAAAAACAUGACUAGAUAAAUAGACUCGAUAAAUAGAUGAAAACACACGACUAGAUAAAUACAUGGAAACACGACUAGGUAAAUACAUGAAAACACACGACUAGAUAAAUACAUGGAAACACGACUAGGUAAAUACAUGAAAACACACGACUAGAUAAAUACAUGAAAACACACGACUAGAUAAAUACAUGAAAACACACGACUAGAUACAUAGACUAGGUAAACACAUGGAAACACACGACUAGAUAAAUAGACUAGGUAAACACAUGGAAACACAUGACUAGAUACAUAGACUAGAUAAACACAUGGAAACACACAACAAGAUACAUAGACUAGAAAAACACAUGGAAACACACAACUAGAUACAUAGACUAGAUAAACACAAGGAAACGCUCGACUAGAUACAUAGACUAGAUAAAUACAUGGAAACACACGACUAGAUACAUAGACUAGAUAAACACAAGGAAACACACGACUAGAUACAUAGACUAGAUAAACACAUGGAAACACACAACUAGAUACAUA
rnacentral:sRNA from 1 species